rnacentral:rRNA from 1 species
UGGCCUUGACAUAGAAAGAACUUUCCAGAGACGGAUUGGUGCUAGUUUACUAGAGCUUUCAUACAGGUGCUGCACGGCUGUCGUCAGCUCGUGUCGUGAGAUGUUGGGUUAAGUCCCGCAACGAGCGCAACCCUCGUCCUUAGUUGCCAGCAGGUUAAGCUGGGCACUCUAAGGAGACUGCCUUCGUAAGGAGGAGGAAGGUGAGGACGACGUCAAGUCAUCAUGGCCCUUAUGGCUAGGGCUACACACGUGCUACAAUGGGGCGUACAGAGUGUUGCGAUACCGCGAGGUGGAGCUAAUCACUUAAAGCGUCUCUCAGUUCGGAUAGCAGUCUGCAACUCGACUGCUUGAAGCUGGAAUCACUAGUAAUCGUAGAUCAGCAAUGCUACGGUGAAUACGUUCCCGGGUCU